GAUGAGCGCUGGCGGCGUGCCUAAUACAUGCAAGUCGAGCGAACGGACGAGAAGCUUGCUUUUCUGAUGUUAGCGGCGGACGGGUGGGUAACACGUGGAUAACCUACCUAUAAGACUGGGAUAACUUCGGGAAACCGGAGCUAAUACCGGAUAAUAUUUUGAACCGCAUGGUUCAUAAGUGAAAGACGGUCUUGCUGUCACUUAUAGAUGGAUCCGCGCUGCAUUAGCUAGUUGGUAAGGUAACGGCUUACCAAGGCAACGAUGCAUAGCCGACCUGAGAGGGUGAUCGGCCAAACUGGAACUGAGACACGGUCCAGACUCCUACGGGAGGCAGCAGUAGGGAAUCUUCCGCAAUGGGCGAAAGCCUGACGGAGCAACGCCGCGUGAGUGAUGAAGGUCUUCGGAUCGUAAAACUCUGUUAUUAGGGAAGAACAUAUGUGUAAGUAACAGUGCACAUCUUGACGGUACCUAAUCAGAAAGCCACGGCUAACUACGUG
rnacentral:rRNA from 1 species